UCGGGUGCGGUGCCGGUCUAAGUUCCUUGGAACAGGACGUCAUAGAGGGUGAGAAUCCCGUCUGCGAGCCGGCCACCAAGCCCGGGUGAAACCCCUUCGACGAGUCGAGUUGUUUGGGAAUGCAGCUCCAAAUGGGUGGUAAAUUCCAUCUAAAGCUAAAUACCGGCCAGAGACCGAUAGCGCACAAGUAGAGUGAUCGAAAGAUGAAAAGCACUUUGGAAAGAGAGUUAAACAGUACGUGAAAUUGUUGAAAGGGAAGCGCUGGCGACCAGACCUGUCCCCGGGUGAUCAUCCGCCAUUCGUGGCGGGGCACUCGCCCGGACGCAGGCCAGCAUCGGUUUGGGCGGCGGGACAAAGGGCCCGGGAACGUAACUCCUUCCGGGGAGCCUUAUAGCCCGGGUGGCCAUGCCGCCCGCCCGGACCGAGGACCGCGCUUCGGCUAGGAUGCUGGCGUAAUGGUCGUCAGCGACCCGUCUUGAAACACGGACCAAGGAGUCUACCAUCCAUGCGAGUGUUUGGGUGUCAAACCCGGGCGCGGAAUGAAAGUGAACGGAGGUGAGACCCCGCGAGGGCGCAUCAUCGACCGAUCCAGAUGUCUUCGGAUGGAUUUGAGUACGAGCAUGGCCGGUGGGACCCGAAAGAUGAUGAACUAUGCCUGAAUAGGGUGAAGCCAGAGGAAACUCUGGUGGAGGCUCGCAGCGGUUCUGACGUGCAAAUCGAUCUUCGAAUUUGGUAUAGGGGCGAAAGACUAAUCGAAUCAU
rnacentral:rRNA from 1 species